CCUGGUGGCUCAGAGGGUAAAGCGUCUGCCUGCAAUGCAGGAGACCCGGGUUCGAUUCCUGGGUCAGGA
rnacentral:tRNA from 1 species